UUGGAGCAUUGCAGUUAAUUAAUUGGUUCAUGUGAUAAUUUUGUAUCCUCAUAUUUUCAUCGGGGAUGUCGAUUUGAGCGCCACCUUAAAUUUGCACUGGUUUGUGUAUAACUAGAAAAUAAAUAAAAUACUCAUACGUCAAAUGACAAUUGUUCCUUUAUUGAAAUUACGUUUAUAAAAAUUUAAUUAUGUUUCAAAAUUAUCAAACAAGAAUAUUUUUUUAAUACAGUGUUGAGGUUGAUAAAACGUAAUUAUUUUAACGGAUAUUCUAUAGAAAUAAAAAGGAAUAAGAAAAUUAUUGGGAGUGAUUAAAUAAUAGUGUUGUCAAAUUACAAAUUUAUUAUUUAGUAAACACUUGUACUGAUGUAAAAACCAUCUGUUAAAAUACAUUGAGGUAAUAAAAGGAAUGGUGAUUAUAUUAUUUUGGAGGUUAAGUUUUCAAAAAUAAAUUGAGAACAAAAAAUGCUAAUACAAAAUACACAAUAAUAUGGCUACAAUAUCGAUUUUACCUCCUGGAGGAGUUUUUCAUCGUGCUUUAAUUUUCAUGUUAAAGUUAGGAUGGAAAUCCAGAUUACGAUUACCAGUUCUUAUGGUAGCUGCAUUCGUUGUGAUGGAUGUGAGAAUGCAACUAGAGAUUGAUGUUCAUGUUAAUGUCGAUAAUCCAGAGAAUUAAUAUUUUAUCGUUAUAAACUAAUUUUAUUAUUUUUUGAUAAUCAUCAUAUAGAAAUAAUGAUCAAUAUCAUAAUUCACAAAUUAAAUAAUUGGUUCUGUUUUGGUAUUUUUUCGACUAUAUAUCAGAUUGUCGAGCCAGUUGAGUAAAUAAUAUACAAGUAUUACAAUAGGUAAUGAUUAAAAAUUUUUGAAGAGUUCAUUAAUCAUGUUACAAAAUCAAUGAAGCCUUGUUUUUUAAUUGAAAGAACCAUAAGGCUUCUACUUAAGUAUAUAAGGAUCAUACAUUCGACUUGUAUCUUGAUCUAACGAGAAGUUGUUGAAUUGAAACGAUUUUUUGAUUGUUCAAUAUUAAUUGAGAUGUUUCUUGUAUUUAAAACUUUAUUGAUAAGUUUUUGGUUUGUUGUCUGUUUAUCAAGUAAUGUUAUAAGUACAAAACAUUCUAAAACAGAUGAUAAUUUAAUUUUUCUACCGGGUGAAUCUAUUCGAAAAGAAUUGCCUGGCAUUCAGGAUUCAAAUGCUGAAAUAUCUUGUUUUAUUGAUUACUAUGAG